ensembl:antisense Bcas3os1 breast carcinoma amplified sequence 3, opposite strand 1
AUAUUCCAGAAACCCGAUGCUGGCUCCCUCAUUUUCCAUAGACCUCAUCUUCAGUCCCUAAAGAAGAAAACGGUGACAAGAAAUCGGAAGUCCAAUGCAGUCUGCACUCUUCAUGGAUGAACUUCUCAUGUUAAGUGCAAGUAUUUAUAUGGUACAUGUCUGACAAAGGAAGCCUUCCUACAAUCAGUACUGAUUGGACAGCUCCUAUAGACAGCAUCAGUUUAUAAGUGUUUCCUUUCUGAUACACGUUACAGAAUACUGUAAAGAAAUUAUGAAAAUUAUAUUGAACAAAUCAAGAAGUGGUUCAAGUUUUUGAAAACCUCAAUUUAAAGUUUACAUAUUUUCAAAGUUGAAUAAUUUUACACUGGGGUGGGAAGUGAAGUAUAAAUAAACAUUUGCUUAAAGGUACUGAGUUGUGAUAAUUUUUCAUGGAAUGAGACUGUCAGGCAGUAGCAGUUAAAUUAAUAUAUACUGUACUUAAAAAAUUAAACACUUGAGAAAUAACCUUUUUAGCCACUGGAAAAUGGCAAAGUCUAAGACAUUUCAAUCAAGUUAAUUUGGGUAUUAGAGAAAUGCAUUUUCCCACCAGAAACUAUGUGAAGAAACAAAUUAAACAAAAUGGCCCUCCGGAUGCUCGGGUAGCCCUGGGCAGGAGCGGCACCAUUGCUUGUCAAUUAGGUUAUUAUACACACACAUUCCCUCAUUUUAAAUCACGCCAAAGCUGAACGGUUGAAGGUAUAUCAAAAUGAAGCAUGACUUGCAAUUUAAAUGGUUUUUUGUUUCUUUGUUUUAACUUUCUUUUUACUCCUGGACAAAGGGUCCUGCUGGGUUUCUCAGGUUGGGCUGUCUAAUUUCUUAGCUCCAAAGAGCCUCCUGCCUCAGUCCCCUGCACAACAGCUGAGACUACAGGCUUGAACCCACUGUAGUAGGCUCAGAGUUUCUCUUUAACAAGCACUAACCUAGAGCAACUAGUCUAAUUCAGCUAUGUGUUCUAGGAUCUUUCCCUAGCUCACCCUGGCAUGCUAAAGUUCCUAGAACAAAAGUUCCUGAGCAGUCUUGGAAGUAGAAGAAGAGGCCAGGAGAACACUUUAACCAGCUCUGAAGUUACCUCAAAGACACCAGCAUGGAGACAGAUCAGUUUUUCUGGCCACACUAGCUGCAGGGCUCAGGCCCAGACUUCCCAAGGCAGGACAGUGGCAAUUUGGACAGGUUACUUAACUCCCUCACCCCACCCCAACUUCCGUUUCUUUUACUUGUCAAGGUCUAGCCUUGGACUGGGUCCCCAACAAAUAUGCAACAGACCCUGAGAGCUGCUCACAGCCCCACUACACUGCAGAAGGCAGGGAGGCAGGCAGGCUGUCCUUUUGCUUUUGUUUUCAACAACACCUUGAGACUAAGAAACAACAGAGGUAACUUUAGGAUUGCCGUAGGAGCUGAGUGUUUCUGUUAAAUUAUUUAUUUUAUUUAUAUGAGUACACUGUCACUGACACAUCAGAAAAGGGCAUCAAAUACCAUUACAGAUGGUUGAGAUGAUGUGGUUGCUGGGAAUUGAACUCAGGGCCUCUGGAAGAGCAGUCAGUGCUCUUAACCACUGAGCCCUCUCUCCAGCACGGAGCUGAGUUUUUUAAGGGCUAGGUUAAAGCCCUUCAUCUAAAACCACCGAAUGUAGGCAGGCACAGGAGACCCGGUGACUUCAGUUUGGGCACAUAAAAUUUUCUACUAAAGAGAAAAUUCCUCUGACACCAGAGGGGGCAACUUUUUAAAAUAAGCAAUGUUAUAUAGAUCAGUAAUAUUUGAUUAGAUACUUCCUUAUAGUUGACCAGGCUCCAACAAGAAAGAUGAGUAGCAAAUCAGAAACACCACCAAAUGGGAAGUAGAUCUAACAUCCUGUUGCCUCUUGGUACAUUCUAUUGCCUGUUCAAAAUGGAGUCUCAUAAAGUCAGGUUACCUUGAAAUUCUUACAUUGAAAUGUUGGAAUUUAUAAUCAUGAGCCACCAAAUCUAACUUAGUAUCUUUUUCUCCUACAUGCUCAGUGGGCAAGAGCUUGUUGCUCUUGCAGAGGACCAGCACCCACAUGGUGGCUCACAACUGUCUGUAACUCCAAUUACUGGGGAUCUGACGCCCUCUUCUGGACUGCACAGGCACUGCAUUCAUAUAACAUACAUCCAUGCACUCAGGGCUGGGACUGCAGGCAAGUGCCAUGUGUCGCCUUGACCAGGACAUGGGAUGCUGGGGCUCAAAACCAAGAAUUCCUGCACAGCGGGCUGACGGCUGAGGCGGAAGGACGGUGAGCUCUAGGCCAGCCUGGACUACACAGUGAAGCCCAGCUUAAAAAAGAAAAAAACGGCCAGUGUCUUGGAGAAAACUGAGUUUCCAGCAGCUGGUACUCAUGUCCUUGUGACUCAUACAGCUUGGGCUCAUGAGCUCUACUCAGCUGACCUGUUGUAAUCGCCUGGGUAUAAAUUGUCUGAUGUUCUGAAUACGGCCAUGGCACCAAGGAACCCCGCCUGAAAACUUCAGCUCAGACUUCAGACAACUGUGCUACAGCACGUACCAAUUUUACUGCACAUCUGACACAUUCUGUUCUUAUAGAAACAUAAUUGUUUAAUUAGAGAAAAUAAACGUUUUAAUAUUUUCCUACUAUCAUUCUUUAAUAUACAAGUACAAAUUAAUCUGUGUUUAAACUGUAUCAUGUUAGAACAUUUAUUUUUAAGUGAAUAUUUUCAAAUAAUAAAUAUUUUCAUUUUAAAAGGAAAAUUUUAAAAAUUAAAGGUGCUGAAUUGAACUG